ACCAAAUUCCUUUCAAUUAAAUAAAAAACCAAAAAUACUCUACUCCAAUUCAGUCCCCAAAUUCUAAGGCUCGUCACUCUUUUCAAUUCCAUCUGAAGCGGUAGACUUGAGAUUCACUAGAUUAAUCGGAGCUCAUGCAAUUUCUCUGAAGCACCAGCAAGUCUCCUUCCAUGGAUACGGACGACGUAUUCAGGCUGAGCACCGGCAAUUUUCAUUCUUUCAGUAUACUCGCUCUUAUACUUCCAACCUGUAGUAUCUCUCUUUAAUUUUCUUCUGAAUUUAGCAACCUACUGAUGAAUCUCGAUCUCUCUUUCUCUCUGGAAAUGUAUACAUGCAUGUGUUAUCAGCCUAUAAGCUAAUAAAUAUGCCUUUCAUCUUUAAUUUUCUUAUUAUUUGGUUUAAAGUCGUUGAUAAGAUUAGGAAUGUUACUAGAUUCACAAAGUGUUCGACAAAAUAUCUAGAGAAAACUUGAUCUACUGCUCUAUCAAUUUUUAGUUUUUUUUUGUUGCGAUGUUGGCAUUUUCUAUCAAUUUUACUUAGACCACUUUUGAGAAUUUCACUUUUCAAAAACUUGACUUGAUUUUAUUAGUGUACUAUAGCUUUGGCGAAAGUAUAGCUCCAAAAAAACAGACGAGAAAGAUUUCUCUUCUCAUUAGAAAGGCAAAAAUUAGCAAUGAACAUCACAUUUUGGAGAUUGGAUUUGGUUGAGGAGGAUUCGCGUAGGAAGUUCUCAAGAAACAGGAUGUCAAUAUACUGGCAUAACUAUUUCUGAGCAGCAGCUAGAGUAUGCAAAGUUGAGAGUUGAGCUAGCAGGCCUUCAGGUGUUGGAACAUAUUGGUCAUGACUUUAUAGGGGAAUUCUUUAGUUGUUGCGAGUCUGCAUUGGCAAAAGAUGGGCUUCUAGUUAUGCAGACCUUGAAGAAGCCAUGAAGGCCUUACAAGAAAAAGCGAUUGGAUGCAGAAUUGAAGCUUGUAGAAGAGUAUGGACUAAGGUGCAAGAGGGAGCUUUGGAGAUUUCAGUAUGGUUUGAACCGUAUCAGGAAUGCUGCUAAA